GCGUUGUCCGGAAUUAUUGGGCGUAACGAGCUCGUAGGCGGUCUGUCACGUCGGCUGUGAAAACCUGGGGCUCAACUCCGGGCCUGCAGCCGAUACGGUCAGACUAGAGUUCGGCAGGGGAGACUGGAAUUCCUAGUGUAGCGGUGAAAUGCGCAGAUAUCAGGAGGAACACCGGUGGCGAAGGCGGGUCUCUGGGCCGAUACUGACGAUGAGGAGCGAAAGCGUG
rnacentral:rRNA from 1 species